rnacentral:rRNA from 1 species
UCCGAAGGGGGCUAUCGUUGUUCGGAAUUACUGGGCGUAAAGCGCACGUAGGCGGACUGUCAAGUCAGGGGUGAAAUCCCGGGGCUCAACCUCGGAACUGCCUUUGAUACUGUCAGUCUAGAGUCCGGAAGAGGUGGGUGGAAUUCCUAGUGUAGAGGUGAAAUUCGCAGAUAUUAGGAAGAACGCCGGUGGCGAAGGCGGCCCACUGGUCCGGUACUGACGCUGAGGUGCGAAAGCGUGGGGAGCAAACAGG